rnacentral:rRNA from 1 species
GUGGUUUUAGAUGGGCUCACGGCCUAUCAGCUUGUUGGUGAGGUAAUGGCUUACCAAGGCGACGACGGGUAGCCGGCCUGAGAGGGUGACCGGCCACACUGGGACUGAGACACGGCCCAGACUCCUACGGGAGGCAGCAGUGGGGAAUAUUGCACAAUGGGCGCAAGCCUGAUGCAGCGACGCCGCGUGAGGGAUGACGGCCUUCGGGUUGUAAACCUCUGUUAGCAUCGAAGAAGCGAAAGUGACGGUAGGUGCAGAGAAAGCGCCGGCUAACUACGUGCCAGCAGCCGCGGUAAUACGUAGGGCGCGAGCGUUGUCCGGAAUUAUUGGGCGUAAAGAGCUUGUAGGCGGUUGGUCGCGUCUGCUGUGAAAGGCCGGGGCUUAACUCCGGUUUUGCAGUGGGUACGGGCUAACUAGAGUGCAGUAGGGGAGACUGGAAUUCCUGGUGUAGCGGUGGAAUGCACAGAUAUCAGGAGGAACACCGACGGCGAAGGCAGGUCUCUGGGCUGUAACUGACGCUGAGAAGCGAAAGCAUGGGGAGCGAACAGGAUUAGAUACCCUGGUAGUCCAUGCCGUAAACGUUGGGCACUAGGUGUGGGGGACAUUCCACGUUUUCCGCGCCGUAGCUAACGCAUUAAGUGCCCCGCCUGGGGAGUACGGCCGCAAGGCUAAAACUCAAAGGAAUUGACGGGGGCCCGCACAAGCGGCGGAGCAUGCGGAUUAAUUCGAUGCAACGCGAAGAGCCUUACCAAGGCUUGACAUGCAUUAGAUCGCGUCAGAGAUGGCGUUUCCCUUCGGGGCUGGUGUACAGGUGGUGCAUGGUUGUCGUCAGCUCGUGUCGUGAGAUGUUGGGUUAAGUCCCGCAACGAGCGCAACCCUCGUUCUAUGUUGCCAGCGGUUCGGCCGGGGACUCAUAGGAGACUGCCGGGGUCAACUCGGAGGAAGGUGGGGAUGACGUCAAAUCAUCAUGCCCCUUAUGUCUUGGGCUUCACGCAUGCUACAAUGGCCGGUACAGAGGGUUGCGAUACUGUGAGGUGGAGCUAAUCCCUUAAAGCCGGUCUCAGUUCGGAUUGGGGUCUGCAAACUCGACCCCAUGAAAGUCGGAGUCGCUAGUAAUCGCAGAAUCAGCAACGCUGCGGUGAAUACGUUCCCGGGCCUUGUACACACCGCCCGUCAAG